rnacentral:rRNA from 1 species
UACGAAGGGGGCUAGCGUUGCUCGGAAUUACUGGGCGUAAAGGGCGCGUAGGCGGUCCGCUAAGUUCGGCGUGAAAUCCCCUGGCUCAACUGGGGAACGGCGCUGGAUACUGGUGGACUCGAGUACCGGAGAGGAGAGUGGAAUUCCUGGUGUAGCGGUGAAAUGCGUAGAUAUCAGGAGGAACACCAGUGGCGAAGGCGGCUUCCUGGACACCAACUGACGCUGAGACGCGAAAGCGUGGGGAGCAAACAGG